CAAUAGCGUAUAUUAAAGUUGUUGCAGUUAAAAAGCUCGUAGUUGGAUUUCUGGUUGAAGCGACCGGUCGGGCGUUGAUUCGUCUGCACUGGAGUCGGUUUUGGCCAUCCUCUAGGAAAGUGCGUCUGGUAUUAAGUUAUCGGGCGUAUGAUCCUGGUCUUUUACUGUGAAAAAAUUAGAGUGUUUAAAGCAGGCCUUCGCCUUGAAUACAUUAGCAUGGAAUAAUAAGAUAGGACUUUGGUCUAUUUUGUUGGUUUGCAUACCAAAUUAAUGAUCAACAGGAACAGUUUGAGGAUAUUCGUAUGAACAUGUCAGAGGUGAAAUUCUUGGAUUUUGAUCAGACGAACUACUGCGAAAGCAUUUAUCAAGGAUGUUUUCAUUAA
rnacentral:rRNA from 1 species